AUGUGGGCAGCUUCCACAAUGACUGCAGGGGACAUCUCUGUGGGAGAGUGGUGCUACACCAGGCUGUGGACGUGGCCAGCUUUCUACACCUUCUGCCGCUUUGGAGGUGAAACCACAGUUUGUAUAGGAUCUGUCUGCCUCAGCACGAUGAGCCCACACCUCAUUGAGUUUGAAAAGCGACAUUUGGCUUUGCAUUAGGGGACCGGGACCCCCCGCAGACCAUCGCACUGGAUGCUUCUAGACUGCUUGAUGGACUUUUAAGGUUGUCUCUGUCACCAUUAGCCUUCAUUUUUUCAAGAAAGGGAGGAUCUCAUCAGCUGUGCUGCAGGCUCUGGCGUACCAUGCAGCCCCGCUGUGCAGUCAAUGUGUGCCAUGUGCUUAUGUUGGUGCUGUGUCUGUCUGCGGGUGAGGACUUUGACUGGACAAAGAGCAACCACGGCUCCUUCUAUUAUGGCACUUUUCCAACUGGAUUUUCGUGGGGUGCCGGAGGUUCAGCCUAUCAAACAGAGGGAGCCUGGGACAAAGAUGGAAAAGGACUGAGCAUCUGGGACGUGUUCAGUCACAAAAAGGGCAAAAUCCAGCUGAAUGACACGGGGGAUUCCUCCUGUGAGGGCUACUACAAAAUCAAGGAUGAUAUUUCUCUGAUGAAGGAGCUGAGGCUGAACCACUAUCGCUUCUCAAUCUCCUGGCCCAGGAUUAUUCCCACUGGUGUAAAGUCUGACCACGUUAACGAAAAAGGAAUACAGUACUACGACGAACUGAUUGACCACCUCCUGGAGAACAACAUCACUCCCAUUGUUACGCUGUAUCACUGGGAUCUGCCACAGAUUUUACAAGAGAAAUAUGGCGGAUGGCAAAACAUAAGCAUGGUCAAUCAUUUCAAUGAGUUUGCCAACCUUUGCUUUGAGAAAUUUGGCGAUCGAGUGAAGCACUGGAUCACUUUCAACAAUCCAUGGUCUGUGGCUGUUGAAGGCUAUGAGACAGGUGAGCACGCUCCUGGGCUGAAGCUGAGAGGAACCGGGGCUUACAGAGCAGCACAUCACAUCAUAAAGGCGCAUGCUAAAGUUUGGCACACUUAUGAUACGCAAUGGAGGGUGAAGCAAAAAGGUCUGGUUGGCAUCUCUCUGUCGGGGGACUGGGGUGAGCCGGUGGACAUCAGCAACCAGAAAGACAUUGAAGCAGCAGAGCGAUAUGUCCAGUUCUACCUGGGCUGGUUUGCCACACCCAUCUUUCACGGAGACUACCCUCAAGUAAUGAAGGACUUUGUCGGAAGGAAGAGUGUGCAGCAGGGAAUUGGGACAUCUCGACUUCCCGCCUUCUCUCCGCAAGAAAAGAGCUACAUAAAGGGGACGUGUGACUUCCUUGGCAUCGGCCAUUUCACCACCCGGUACAUCACCCACAGGAACGACCAGCCAGGCCGGGGCAGCAACAGCUACUUCACAGACCGUGACCUGGCUGAGCUGGUUGACCCGCGGUGGCCUGAUCCUGGGUCAGAAUGGCUCUACUCUGUGCCGUGGGGUUUCAGACGUCUGCUGAAUUUUGUCAAGACUCAGUACGGAAACCCGAUGAUUUACGUGACUGAGAACGGAGUCUCUGAGAAGAUGAUGUGCACAGAGCUGUGUGAUGAGUGGAGGAUACAAUACUAUAAGGACUACAUCAAUGAGAUGCUAAAAGCUAUCAGAGAUGGUGUCAAUGUAAAGGGCUACACUGCCUGGUCCUUGCUGGACAAGUUUGAGUGGGACGAAGGUUACUCCGAGAGAUUCGGCUUGUACUACGUGGAUUUCAGGAACAAAAACAAGCCUCGUUAUCCAAAAGCGUCUGUGCAGUUUUACAAACGGAUCAUCAGCUCCAAUGGAUUUCCGAAUCAAAGAGAGGUCGAAAACUGGAGGAGGAAGUCUGUUGAGAUGUGUUCUUCCAGCAACCAGCUAUUGGCUGCAGCUAGAAGAAAGUCCAAGGAACAUGCUGAGAUGCCAAGGGUUUGGCCAGUGCAUGACGAAGUUUAGAACUUCAGGAGGAACAGCGGAGUACUGCUGCCAAUAUUCUAAGACUUAUACAUGACCCGCUGACCAGCCACAUGGAGAUGGUGACUGAGAUCGUCGUC